GUCAGCGUGGCAUAGUGGUUUGAGCAUUGGACUAUGGCUCUGGAGACCAGGGUUCAAAUCCUGGCUCAGCCA